GGUUUGAUCAAGGCUCAGAUUGAACGCUGGCGGGAUGCUUUACACAUGCAAGUCGAACGGCAGCACGGACUUCGGUCUGGUGGCGAGUGGCGAACGGGUGAGUAAUGUAUCGGAACGUGCCCAGUAGUGGGGAUAACUACGCGAAAGCGUAGCUAAUACCGCAUACGCCCUUCGGGGGAAAGCGGGGGACCUUCGGGCCUCGCACUAUUAGAGCGGCCGAUAUCGGAUUAGCUAGUUGGUGGGGUAACGGCUCACCAAGGCGACGAUCCGUAGCUGGUUUGAGAGGACGACCAGCCACACUGGGACUGGUGACACGGCCCAGACUCCCACGGGAGGCAGCAGUGGGGAAUUUUGGAUAAUGGGGAAACCUGAUCCAGCCAUCCCGCGUGUGCGAUGAAGGCUCCUCUUCGGGUUGUAAAGCACUUUUGGCAGAAAGAAAACGGCACGGGAUAAUACCCUCGUGCAACUGACGGUACCUGCAUGAAUAAGCACCGGCUAACUACGUGCCAGCAGCCGCGGUAAUACGUAGGGUGCAAGCGUUAAUCGGAAUUACGGGCGUAAAGCGUGCGCAGGCGGUUCGGAAAGAAAGAUGUGAAAUCCUUGUGAGCUUAACUUUGGAACUGCAUUUUUAACUACCGAGCUAGAGUGUGUCAGAGGGAGGUGGAAUUCCGCGUGUAGCAGUGAAAUGCGUAGAUAUGCGAGGAACACCGAUGGCGAAGGCAGCCUCCCGGGGAUAACACCGACGCUCAUGCACGAAAGCGUGGGGAGCAAACAGGAUUAGAUACCCUGUAGUCCACGCCCUAAACGAUGUCAACUAGCUGUUGGGGCCUUCGGGCCUGGUAGCGCAGCUAACGCGUGAAGUUGACCACCUGGGGAGUACGGUCGCAAGAUUAAAACUCAAAGCAUUGACGGGGACCCGCACAAGCGGUGGAUGAUGUGGAUUAAUUCGAUGCAACGCGAAAACCUUACCUACCCUUGACAUGUCUGGAAUCCCGAAGAGAUUUGGGAGUGCUCGCAAGAGAACCGGAACACAGGUGCUGAUGGCUGUCGUCAGCUCGUGUCGUGAGAUGUUGGGUUAAGUCCCGCAACGAGCGCAACCCUUGUCAUUAGUUGCUACGAAAGGGCACUCUAAUGAGACUGCCUGUGACAAACCGGAGGAAGGGUGGGGAUGACGUCAAGUCUCAUGGCCCUAUGGGUAGGGCUUCACACGUCACACAAUGGUCGGGACAGAGGUCGCCAACCCGCGAGGGGGAGCAAUCCCAGAAACCCGCUGAUCGUAGUCCGGAUCGCAGUCUGCAACUCGACUGCGUGAAGUCGGAAUCGCUAGUAAUCGCGGAUCAGCAUGUCGCGGUGAAUACGUUCCCGGGUCUUGUACACACUGCCCGUCACACCAUGGGAGUGGGUUUUACCAGAAGUAGUUAGCCUAACUGCAAGGAGGGCGAUUACCACGGUAGGAUUCAUGACUGGGGUGAAGUCGCAAUAAGGUAA
rnacentral:rRNA from 1 species